GAACUUCAAUAGGAAUCGAACCUAUACCUUUAACGUAAUAGUCGACGUACUACGUAUUAUACUAUAAGGUU